CCUGGUGGUUAUUGCGAGGUGGCUGCACCCGUUCCCAUUCCGAACACGGCCGUGAAACGCCUCAGCGCCGAUGGUACUUUGUCUUAAGGCACGGGAGAGUAGGUCGCUGCCAGGU
rnacentral:rRNA from 1 species